CAGGAGUCCGGUUGUGAGGGGUGGGGGGAAAGCGCUCAUUCUAUGUGGGGACCAGAGGAAGGUCGGCUUCUCACUGUAAGAGGGGACAUGUGUCUGGGUCCCUGAGCCAGCCAGGGAAUCCCCUUCUAGGCUGUUCUUCGUCCAGCUGGACUCAAGGCGCCCCCUGAAGGCCCAGGGGUCGGACAGCGUCCACCUGCAGAGCUGAGACUCCUAGCCGAGAGCCCCACCUGACCCAAGAUGGUCACGCGGGACCUGGGGAUUCUGUAUUCCUCAAUAGCGUUUGCAGAGUUUGUAGGUUUCAGGAGUAGCCUCCUUGUAGCCUCGGUUUCCCCCUCUGCCGCCCUGCUGGCUGGUGCCCCGCAGCCUUGAAUGGGAGGAACCCCUGCUGUGCACCGCCUCCAUCUUCCCCGCACCCCGCCUCUGCUGCAGCGGAUGGCCUUUAAUAACGUCUGGAAAGUGACACGCGAUUUAUUAUUAAAGUAAUGCGGGCGCAGGGACGGUAAAGGUUUAAUAAACGCGCUGAGAUGCCGAGGAUUAUUCACCGCAAAUAAAUGAGAGAGCGGGUGGUGUUUUAAUAAAUAAUUUCCCGGGGCUCCCAGGGGAGGAGAGGGGAGGAGGAUGGGGGGAAGCUGAGCGACUGCGGGAACUCCUGGCUUCGCCUCCCCAUGGGUUUCCAAGCCUUCUUGCAUUUUCCUUCCUAGGUUGCUCACACCUAGAUGUUGAGGUUCCAGGAGAGUGCACUCUCCUAGAGUAGCCCAAGACUGGAGGCGGGAGGGGCUGUACUUGCCCCACAUACAAGAUUUUAAGUAGUUUGCUUCAGAUAAAGCUAACAUCUUCCUUUCAGCAUCCACCCAGAGAUGGGAAUCAAGACCUGAAAGGAGCAGGCAGGGUUAAUAGCAACUAGUCCUGUCUCUGGCCUCCCUGCUUUUGGCUUUUUUGGGCUAGGUGUCCAACUCUCCCUCAUCUAAGGCAGGCUAUGAGGAGUAAGCCAAAAGGGGCUAUAUGUACAAGUAUGAAAAUGACACGUUUUUGCAAAUGACCCUGACUCUGGUUCUGUCCUUGGACCAUCGGGGAAUGGGGCCACUGCUCUGGCUGCUUCCUACUGCAGACUCUAAGAAUCCUCAGCUGUCCUGGUCUGAAAUGAAGGUGUUUGGGCUUAGCUCCAUCCUUGGCUUGCUGGUGACAGAUUCAAAUUGAGGAUUGGGCAGAACUAGAGCCCCAACAGGGAGUAGACAUCUUGGAAGGAAGUCUGGAGUCCCAAGAGGAGGAGCCUGACUUUGGAGAGGCCAGAAUUGCAGAUUUUUGGGACUGAGGUCGCACUUAUAAGGCUGCUGGUGGUGGAGGGGGAGCUUAAGUUACAUCUGACUUUGCAUAUUUUGUAUCUUGGAGGAAAAAAGCGACAUCUCUGGCAACACUUGGGAGUAUAGGAAGUAGGGAAAAAGUGCCAUCUGGUGGAUAUUUCUGGCAGUGUCCUUCAGGCCCCGGUCAGGGUCCUUGAGACAAUUUUUAUUUGUUUGGAAGCAUCUGUGUAAAAAGGUGCUACUAUAUGUCUUCAUUUAGCGUGGACACAUAUGUAGUAUAUAUGUGAUGUCUACAUUUACCUGUGUAAACUAUAAAUUAUUAUGUUUAUAGUGGUUGUUUGCAUAUGUGUUUUUAUAUGUACAUUAUGUAAACUGUAUAAAUUAUGUAGGUAUAUCACAAUGUUAUGUAUGUGGAUUAUAUAAAUGCAUAUAUAAGUAUGCAGAUAUCACAUAGGUGUAUUUAUGAUGUGUCAACGUAAACAUUGUAUAUAUUAAUGCUUUUUUUUUUUUUUUUUGGCAAUACUAGAUGGAACCCAGAGGUGCUCUUCCAGUGAGCUACAUACCCAACCCCCCCUUUUUUGUGGUGCUGGGGAUUGAACCCAGGGCCUUGUGCAUUCAAGGCAAGCACUGUACCAACUGAUCUAUAUCCCCAACCCUAAUAUUAUUUAUUUAUUUGUUUAUUUUUAUACUGCAGAUUGAACUCAGGGAAACUCAAACCACCGAGCCACAUCCCCAGCCUCAUUUUGUAUUUUAUUUAAAGAUAGGGUGUUAGGGAGUUGCUUAGCACUUCACCAUUGCUGAGGCUGUCUUUGAACUUGCAAUCCUUCUGUCUCAGCUGCCAGGUCACUGGGAUUAUAGAUGUGCACCACUGCACCCAGUCCUAAUACUUUUUUAAUUUUUAUUUUGAGAUGGGGGUCUUGCUAAAUCACUGAGGCUAGCUUCAAACUUGCGAUUCUCCUGCCUCAGCUUCCCAAGUAGCUGGGGAUAACAGGCAUGCACCAUCACUACCAGCUUGUAUAUAUUAUUAUAUGUAUUUGUAUAUACAUUUACUUACAAGUAUAUGUUCCAUAUGUGUCAGUCUUUCUACAAACAUUUAUGUAUUAGCACUGUUGUAGGGUCAGGGCUACACCAUGGGGAGAAAAUUGUCCCUACAUCAUGGAGCACACAUUCCAGUUGUGUUUAUGAAUAUAUGUGCACUUUAAUUAAUUAUAUAUGGAUAUAUUUGCAGGUUUAUGGGCACAUGCAUAUGUAACAAUGUCCACCUGUGUAGGUAUGAGGGGCAG
rnacentral:lncRNA from 1 species